UCAUAACAAGAGAAAUUUAUUGCUCACAGUUCUGGAGCCUGGGAAGUCCAAGAUCAACGUACCAGCAGAUUCAGAUGAAGGCGUGUUCUCAGCUUCAUAGGUGGUGCAUUCUUGCUGCUUCUUCACAUGAUGGAAGGAGUGAACAAGCUCCCUUGGGCCUCUUUUACAAAGAUGGCAAAGAAGGAGAGAAGAGAAGAAGUAGCCAGACAUUGGAAAGAAACAGCUUGACUUCAGAGGAAUGGCUUGAUGGUGGGACUUAGGAGAAGUGUACAGCAGGGGACUGCUGGACUCCAUGGGAAGAUCACCUUCCCACUCCAUCCCCCUUCCAGCUCCCCAUCCUGCUGGGAGCCACUUUCAUCAGUAAUAAAAUUCUCCGCAUUCAUCACCCUUCAAUUUUUUCAUGCAACCUUGGUUGCAAGGACUCAGGUGGAGAGACGAAGGAUCAAGCAAUGUGACUGGUAGAAACUGUGUUAUACAAGGUAAACCAAGAGAGAAUUGUGCAAAAAUGUCUUCAGGGUCACUUCUUUCCCUAACUUGGUCCCUCAGAGUUCUUUCCACUAGAUAUCCAGUGUGUUCAACCUAACUCCUAUCUGCAGUGGGCCUCCAAAUAUUGCACCCCUAUGGGCAGGGCUGUGUGUCAUUUCCCUGGCCCCUAUCUGGGUCAAAACUGUCAUUCCUCCAGGGACCUGCUGGGCAACUAGCAAACUAAUCUUCAAUGUAUUUUACCCAAGGUGUUAAUGACAGAUAAUGGCUUAAUGCAUUACCCCUCCCAGCUAACAUUUCCAUUUUAAUAGAGCCUUUAAAUGCUUUAACCUGAAGGAAACAGCAUGAAAAAUGCAGGGAUAGCAAAUAUCUGGCACCUUUGCUCCUUCCCUGUUCCUGGAAGACAUCUUCAAAUGGUCACUGAGGCUUUUCCUGCUAUGCCUGGACAUACCCUGAGAAGCCCAUAGGGCCCUGGGCAGCCCCUACCAGCCUAUGAUGGGAGUUACCAUGCAAGAUGAAAUCUAUUUGCCAACCUUAUCGUGAAACAAAUAUUUGUCCAGGAGUAAAAAGACCUGAAUUCUACUUUGGGGCUUUGACAUUACCUGGACAUAGGGCCUAAACAAAUUUAUUAGACAUUUCCAAGUCUCAGUUUCCUUACCCAUAAAAUGAGAGGACUGGCAUUAGAGUCAAGCAUUUCCAAAGCAUAGUUCUCAAUCUGCCAGGGACUCUCAAAAUCUGACCUCACAGCUCUCCAAGCUGGUUGCUGCUACCACGUACCUCUUCCCAUUUUUGCCUUGCUUCCCACAAGGGAAGGAAAUUCACUCCCAACUGGGCACCACCUUUCUAUCUCUAUUUGGGGACCUUCCUGUCCCUGAAAGGCCCUGGGAACAUAAUGUAAAGCAACUAUGGGGGCAGCUGCUAAGAAGCCAGAUCUUGUGACACUAAGAGUCCAGUCACGUGGUUCAGAGUCCACAGCAACCUGUGGCGACUAUGCAGUCAUCAGCCAGAGAGGCAGAGCCUCUGUCUGGAGAUGUGUCAGAAAUGGGUGUGACUAGUCCCAGACACAUCAAGUGAGGAAAAAUCAGGUGUGCAGAUUACGUUGUGUAAAUGCCUUUCUAAUUCUCAAUGCUCCAGGAAGGAAUCUCAGAGAUUAAAUUAAGCUGUUAACCCUCUAGGCGCUCCUGUCGUUUAUUGUUAAGGAAUUAAUAGGAAUGCGGGAAUGCAGAUGGCCUGGCUGUCAGCUCGGAGAGGCGAUUUUUCUGAUCUCCAAGGAGGUUUCCAGCAUCUUUCAUUAAGCACUCGUGUACCAACUUGUCAUUUUAACCGAGCAGCAAAGAAACUCCCACUCAACUGCCUACCUCAGGUGCUGGGAGUGCAAUCCUCGGAGGAGUCUUUCUGGGUUGCAGGUGCAGGGGAGGCGCCCAGGUGAUGGGGGUGGGGUGCAGCGAGAAAUGGAUUUAAAGCCACUCCAGGAAGGAAAUCGGAUCCCAAAACCUGGUUGUCCUGGGCACAGGCUUCAGGUGACUGCAGAAGAUUCCUCUCUAGCAAUCCUGAACUGAGCAGAGAUGUGAAAACUUACUUCUUUCCGCUUUCUCGAAGCGCUCCAGGACGCAGGUGGCACGCUCAACGCGGGGAGGCGCCACCUACAGGACAGAGGAAGACCUGCAGCUUGGGCUUGAGAUUUCAACAGUCUGUGGCGGGGGCUGAUGAGGGCGGCCCCUCCUCCUCCUGGAGUAAUAAUAGUCCCUGACAUUUAUCGAAUGCUCUUCUCGUGCCAGACACUGUCCUGAGCACUUGACAUGUAUUAAUGAUUUUAAACCUCACAACAACCCUAUUAGGUAAUAUGGUACCCAGAGGAACCCAGAGAGAUAACAACCUCUUCUAUUUGUAAAGACCACUUGUGAAGGAAACUCCAUAACCUCCCUGUGGUGGAGUGUAUUAUUGCUCAGCAAACAUUCAUUCUUCUCUAUUUCCCUCCGUUGGGGGAGCAAACUUCCCCACUCCAUUGAUGAUGGGUCUAGCCAUGUGACUUGUUUUAGCCAAUGGAAUGUAAACAGAGGCUUUAACUCUACUUGCUUGGUUAAGCUUGGUCUCUUGCACCUCUACCCUUUGCCACGAGAAGAGCAUGCCCUUGUCACUUCGGCCUGAGUCCCAGAAUGAGAAGUUACAUGGAGCAGACCUGAACAAGAUUCACAACCUGAACAGAAUCACUGCAGCCAAUCCACAAACCUAAAAUUGUCUACAUUCCUGCCUGGGCAUGGUGGCUCAUGCCUGUAAUCCAGCACUUUGGGAGGCCGAGGUGGGCGAGUCACUUGAGUCAGGAGUUCGAGACCAGCCUGGCCAACAUGGUGAAACCCUGCCUCUACUAAAAAUACAAAAAAUUAGCUGAGCAUGGUGGUGCAUGACUGUAAUCCCAGCUACUUGGGAGGCUGGGUCAGGAGAAUCGCUUUAACUGGGAGGUGGAGGUUGCAGUGAGCCAAGAUCACGCCACUGCACUCCAGAGUGGGAAACAGAGCAAGACUCCACCUCAAAAAGAAGAAGGAGAAGGAGAAGGAGAUUAUCUACAUUCCUGAGGAGGAGAAGUUGUACUUAAACUACCUUGAUCCAACUUCCAGCUUUACAAUCAUUGCCCCCCACCAUGCAUAUAUCAUACAUAUAUACCUGCUAGCAUGAAUACCUGCAUCAUAUCUAGAAUUAAUGGGAAUAGUCAUAGGGCCAAUCUUUCUUAUAUCAAGCAAGCUGAACAAGGGUCCAAGGGAUAAGGCCACAGCUACUUCCUCCUGCUUUAGAACAGAGCUAAAUAAACCUGUUCCUAAGUCUUGUGAGUUAUUGCAUCCUUGCCUUAUAAGGAAUGAAGACUUAACCUGCUUCCUGGCAGUCAUUACUAACUGAGUGAAGAUUCCCAUUAAUCCAGAAAUGGGAGCCUCUCUGGCUUGCAUAUGUCCAGGAAUGGACAUACCACCCACAGUUUUACUCCUGGUGGCCAAUCGGUCCCGCACACAAACACAGGCACAUCUUUUAUUUAAUGCUCAAGAUUUGUGAACAACUCCCAGCACUGUGCCUUCCAAAGGGCUUGCAUUAAGUGCUGGUGAAGGAGCAGGGACCUCUAUCAUGGCCAGAGCCAGUCAAUAAUGACACCCUGGCAGCUCUCAAAGGUGCACGAGUGGAAUGGCCAUUGAGCUACUCCAUGCAAUGAAAAGUUCUAAUGGGGAGUGGGGACACUUCUCUCCCCAGUCCCAUCCCAUGGCUUGGCUGAAAAUUUUUUUCUUUUGGGAGAUCACUGGCUUUCUCCAGCAACCUUGACUAUAAGGAUGAGGAUGAGGAGAAAAAAUAAGAACUGCCGAGUGUGGUGGCUCACGCCUGUAAUCCCAGCACUUUGGGAGGCUGAGGUGGGUGGAUCACAAAGUCAGGAGUUCAAAACCAGCCUGGCCAAGAUGGUGAAAUCCCGUUUCUACUAAAAAUACAAAAGAAAAAAAAAUUAGCCAGGCGUGGUGGCGAGUGCCUGUAAUCCCAGCUACUGGUGAGGCUAAGGCAGAGAAUUGCUUGAACCAGGGAGGCAGAGGUCACAGUGAGCCGAGAUCAUGCCACUGCACUCCAGCCUUUGCAACAGAGUGAGACUCUGUCUCAAAAAAAAAAAAAGUACACAGGGGAGGUUGUGGGGAAUUUGGAAUAUUCCCUAAGGAUUUCCUCCAUUGAAGAGGUCUGCUUUAAAGUACUGGGGGUCCACAAACUCACCCCAUUUCCAGCUUGGCCUUGGGAGAAGAGGAGGACAGAGAACAGAAUUCUGGAUUGUUACUAGGUAGUUGGGCUGCAUCAGGAAGACAUUUUGGUAGAAGGAGAGGAAAGAGAGGUAGGAAGUGGGAAGGGAAGCACUAAGGGUUUUUUUUUUGACCCUGAUCCCCUUAGCUAGACAAGCUCAGUGGGGCUUAGGAUGGAGGUCAGGGAUAGCCUAAGAUCCUGUUACUGAAAGGGUAGUCUCCAGCCAGCAGCAUCAGCAUCACCUGGCUCUUAGGCUUCACCCCAGACCUACUGAAUCAGAAACUGCAUUUUAAUCCCUAGGUGAUAAGUAUGUCCAAUAAAAUUUCAGAAGCAUUAGCCUAGAUGCUUCAAUGGGAAUAACUUCUUGCAGUGAGCUAUUGAGGAACUGUGCUGGAUAAUCUCUCUGCCCUUCCAAAUCCACUUGCCAUCCUUAUUCCCCUGCUCUUGGGACUAAGAAGUGAAUUGAUGAAUUCGCUUCCUUUAUUCAUUGCUUCAACAGGCUCCCUUGUCAUCUGGCUUCUGGUUGGGCUCAGCCAAUGGUCAGUGCUCAAGAAGCAGUGACUUAAGUGACAUUAAUAGUGACUUUACCAGCCAGGCAGGGUGGCUCAUGCCUGUAAUCCCAGCACUUUGGGUGGCCAAGACGGGUGGAUCACCUGAGGUCAGGAGUUUGAGACCAGCCUGGCUAACAUGGUGAAAUCCUG
rnacentral:lncRNA from 10 species